GCUGAAAGCGAGUAGAGCCUGAGAGAGGAGAGAUGAUCCGAGAUAGGGUGCCCAUGGAGGGAGAAGGACUGAACGCAGGAGGACCCAGGCAUGCCUGGAGCCAAAGGGUAAGGGCUGCCCAGCCUUGAGGGCAGUGUGGGGCAGGGAAGGGUGAGCCAGCCUAGGGGUGAGAACCCGGAGCCCUUGACCUUGGGUUGAGCCCACACUGACCACCUGGUGCUGGGUGCUGGGCACUCGGAACUCCUGCAGCUGUCAUGGGGGAGGGGGUCUACAGGUGCCUGUCACUCGCCUUCUGCCCUCCCUGGCUGUUAAUCUGAUGGUUCCGGCGCACUCUCUGAAGGCCUGGAAGUCUGGGCCCAGAGGGGGAGGGGUUCAGGGAGGUGGGGGUGAGCAGAGGCAGAUGCCCAAGGAGCACAGGCAGGCUGAAGGUGGGAUAAGAGAAGGGGGUGCGGUGCCGGGCUGGGAUCACAGUCUCAUGUGGCGCUGUGUGUGGUGAGUGUGCACACACGUGGGUGAUGUCUGUGUACAGGCUGGUUUGUUGCAGGUCCACACCCUAGGGACAAGGGGGCCCCGUGGGGCUUGAGAACUCUGGCCCCAGGGUCACCUUGCUAGGAGCUCUUUUUGGGCAGGGGCUGAGCCUAAUUUAUCUCUGUGAGCCCAGAGUCCCCAAGGUCUGGCCCAUCCCAGCCCUCAGUACUUGAGUCUCCAGUGAACCAUAUGUGUGGGUCUGGGUGGGGGUGGGGGGUUGGAGCCUGUCCUUUCUGAGAUGUGGUCUUACAAACGGAGAAGUCAGAGAAGUUCUCUUUUGGCCCAAGGCCCUGAGUGGAGGGUGGAGGCUGGAUUUGAAGGAUCUUUUGUGGCAACCAAUGGAUGGCAGAGAGAGGGAAGGGAAGAUGUAGGCAGCUGGAGGAGGGGAAAGAAGAGGCAGCCCAUGCCUCUGCCCUGUUCCUGCCUGGGGGCAAAACCCCUCGGCUCUUACCUCACCCCUCACUUGAGACCCAAUUCGUCCUGGUAGAAGGUCUAUUACUCCAUUUACUGACAAGGAAACCAGAGAGGUUAAGAUAUUUGAACGGGCCACACAGCUAGUGAUGGUUGGAGCCACCCCAUUUCCUUGUGCCCCAGCCUCCAGUACAGAUGUGGAGACAUCUGUGGACCUCCCUCUCACUGGACCAUCUCCUCCCUUCUGCUUGCAUCCCCGUCUUGCCUGACUUGAGACUUUCUCACUGAGUCACGUUCCGGGUUUCUCACUUUGUGGUCCCUGCCCGUCUCCAUCUCUAGAUCUCUCAGAAAUGCAGCCAAGGCCUCUCAUUGUGCUCUCUCUUUCCUUUCCUGCCUCAUCCCCAACACACUGCCCACCUCUCUGUCGCUUAUCUCCCCUCUUACAGCCUCUCAGGCUGUGCCCAGCAGGGUGGAGGGCAGAAAUCCAGGGUGCUGGUGCCCCUGUGCUCCGGGUCUCUACCAGCAGCUGCCCCUCCCCAGCACUCUCACGUCCUUGCUGCUCAGCCCUCCUGCACCUGCAGUAGGAGCUCAUUCAGGAGCCUUCCAGGUCCCUGGGGGAGCUCAGGACUCCACACAUUUGAAGGAGAGGACCCAAGUGGCUGUUAGAUUUGGGGUGAAGAAUUGUCUGGUCUUGGAGCUUCGAUAAGAAAUCUCAGUGCCUAUAGCAGCCAUCCUCAGACAGUCAGCCUCCCUCCCUGCCCCGAGGAGAGCACAGCGGGCAAGGUCAGGGCACACGGACUUUCUUAGGAUGGGCCAUGGCUUGGAGGUAGAAGAGCAAAGUGGGAGGGGGCCCGAGAGAGGGAUGCAUGGACUCCCUGGGGUCCAGCAUCACCUGGAGUCCUUCUUAAAUGCACAGACUCUGGGGACCCACCACAGGCCUGGCAAUCAGAGUCUCUGGAGGCAGGUCCCAGGAAUCCACAUUGUCGCAGCUUCCCAGCACAGUCUGCCACCCACAGGUGUGGCCGGUGCUGCGCGACAUCAGGGAGCAAAUCUCAUUUUGAGUCUUGAUGGGAAACAGCUUGAAAAGAAGCCUUGAAUGCACACAGAAGGCAAAGAAAACCAGAGUCCAGGCUGAGGAUUUAGGGGCAAUUUUAUUUUCCAUUUUCCAAACUUUUUCCGAUGUGAUCAUAUGACUUUUCAUUUAUUAUUGUUGUUCUCCCUCAAAAUGUGGGAAGAGCACUGCAUCAGGAGUCAAGAGACGGGGUUCCAGCCCUGGCUUUGCCACGAAUGGGGUGUAUGAGCUUGGAAUACUCUCAAUGAUGCUAUUUUCAAUUGGGGGGGAAAAAGGAUUGUUUUCAUCAUAAAAGGAAUAUAACCUCAUCAGUCUACAGAAAAGGAAAAUAGAGAAAGAGAAGCUCCCGUGGUCCUAUCAGCCGCCGCAGCCCUUCGGAACAUGUGGUGGGUUUCCUUCCUGUUAGGCGCUCCGAAUCUCUUCAAAGCAGCUUUUCAGUCCAGAUAUAAUAAUGGAUGGGAGGGGGCUGCACAGGGACCCCCUCUCAUGGAAAGCUCUCAGCUCCUCGCACACCAGGUUGUUUCCCCAGUCUGCAGACAGACUCUUGAGGCUGACUUUCAGGCAGGAGAAGUGACUUGCCCAGGUCACACAUACCUGAGUGAUAGGAGAGCCAGUCCCGAGACUCUGAGCCCCGGCUGCCCAGGGUACUUCAGUGCCCCCCGCUGCCAUGCCCAGGUCCAGGAGCUUUUGUUGGUGGGCCCAGCCCAGAGCCCUGCAAAUCGGUCGCUGCUGCGGUUGCAAUCCGCUUCAAGGAACUCUUCCUGGGGCCCACUCGGUUCCAGGUCUGCCCUGGGGCUGGAGGAACAAAUUGCAUCAGACAGCCCACCUGGGCUUCUGGCCAGGCGAAAGAGCACGAACACCUCACGCAAAGCCAACUUAGCAGAGGGCCCGAGUACACAGUAGACAUCAAUGAAUA
ensembl:lncRNA